UGCACUCACUACUGUAAGUCGCUCUGGAUAAGAGCGUCUGCUACAUGACUAAAA
rfam:Salmo salar isolate Sally breed double haploid chromosome ssa19, whole genome shotgun sequence.